rnacentral:rRNA from 1 species
UACGUAGGGUGCAAGCGUUGUCCGGAAUUAUUGGGCGUAAAGAGCUCGUAGGCGGCUUGUCGCGUCGUCUGUGAAAACCCGCGGCUCAACGGCGGGCUUGCAGUCGAUACGGGCAUCACUGGAGUUCGGCAGGGGAGACUGGAAUUCCUGGUGUAGCGGUGAAAUGCGCAGAUAUCAGGAGGAACACCGGUGGCGAAGGCGGGUCUCUGGGCCGAUACUGACGCUGAGGAGCGAAAGCGUGGGGAGCAAACAGG